rnacentral:rRNA from 1 species
UACGUAGGGUGCGAGCGUUGUCCGGAAUUACUGGGCGUAAAGAGCUCGUAGGUGGUUUGUCGCGUUGUCCGUGAAAACUCACAACUCAAUUGUGGGCGUGCGGGCGAUACGGGCAGACUGGAGUACUGCAGGGGAGACUGGAAUUCCUGGUGGUAGCGGUGGAAAUGCGCAGAUAUCAGGAGGAACACCGGUGGCGAAAGGCGGGGUCUCUGGGCAGUAACUGACGUGAGGAGCGAAAAGCGUGGGGAGCGAACAGG